rnacentral:tRNA from 1 species
AGGGGUAUAGUUUAACGGCUAGAACGGCGGUCUCCAAAACCGCAGAUGUGGGUUCGAUUCCUACUACCCCUGCCA